rnacentral:piRNA from 1 species
UCGUUCUGUGUAGUAAUGUUGCAAGGAC